rnacentral:misc_RNA from 1 species
UGAAUUUUAACUCAAUAAUAUAUCAUAAUAAAAUUAUAAAUUUCAAAUUCAAGUCUCAUUGGAAAUCAAUAAAAAAAAAAAUUUACUUUAUCAUAAAUGGUUGUAUCAACAAAAUAAAUUAUAUCCCAAGCCAGUUUUACAAUCAAAGUCAGAAAUUUGAAUAUUCACCACUGUUAGAAGGGCUUUAGUUGAAUAUCUCCUUGAUCCGAGCGUAGAUUAAUCACAU